GGAAUACCUCUGAGAAUGCCCUCAGCUAGCUGAGACAGCCAAACCUUACCUAGUGAGGCUGCAGAAAAAGGUACCCAAGACAGACAUCUAUACUAAUACAGACAUGAGCGAGAUGGGAAACCCCUCCUGGGCUGCUUUGGUUGCAGAGAUGCUGCAAGGGCCAGCUGUUGUUUCAUGGUCAACCAGAACACCGCUUUGUUUCCCAGCCUGCUGCACGCCCCAGCAGCACAUAUGGGCUGCAACACCCUCCUUCUGCUCUCAAAAUCGUCUGAAGUGUCCCAAUGGUACCGAAGUU